UACGAAGGGGGCGAGCGUUGUUCGGAUUUACUGGGCGUAAAGGGCGCGUAGGCGGCCGCUCAAGUCAGGCGUGAAAGCCCCGGGCUCAACCUGGGAGGUGCGCUUGGGACUGGGUGGCUGGAGUUCGGGAGAGGAGCGUGGAAUUCCUGGUGUAGCGGUGAAAUGCGCAGAUAUCAGGAAGAACACCUAUGGCGAAGGCAGCUCCCUGGGACGGUACUGACGCUGAGACGCGAAAGCGUGGGGAGCGAACAGG
rnacentral:rRNA from 1 species